UACUUUGCUAAGUCUCGCAAGACUUCGGGUAAUAACUUCAGAAAUGAAUUUCUACUGUAAAAAAACUUUUACCAAACUCGGGUUCAGUUCCAAGGUACAACUUGGAACCGAAACCGAGUUCGGUAAAGUUUUUUUUUUUUUACAGGGGACUUUUUAGAAUAGGC